GAACAAAAUCAGAGUGAAUGCUCCGUUUAUAGUUCACGGAAUCUACAGUAAUGGGCUGGUAGAAUAAGAGAGCCGGAGACGUGCCUUCAGGUUAGAAACAUACAGCAUUUAUUGGCCACCAGGGGGAAAUCUGGAGGAUCGAGUAGCAGAAAACCAGGGGGUGACACUGAUGCUCUUUGACCUGAAAUCCCUUCUAUAUGUACCCACAGAUUAACUUGUAAUAAUAACGUGCUUCUGAGGUUAUAAAGAAGCAUACUUUUCUACUUUGCCACUUCAUCAGGAAUCGCUCCCCAAGUGUUCUUCCUAGAGAUACUUAUUGUGUUGGUACCCUGAACUCAUCAUUUUCGAAGUUGCUAGUAGUAGUAAUAAGUAGUAAUGGUGUUGUCGUUUUGGGCUGUAAUUUAAAACACACCACACACAUUAUAACGGACCUACACAACGACAGUAAUAAAAAAAUAUUCCAAAAAGGUAGUAGCCAUGGGGAUAACACACCCUCUCGCUCCUACAACUCUUAGGCCAAAACACUAUCUUUCUUGAACCCUUCCUCUGAAGAGCUGUUUGUCAGUUCUCGGCUACCGUAGCAACAUGGCAGGUUGGUGAAGGAGGAGCGUAAUGGUCAUAAGGUAACCAAAACACAACCAUCCUUACUUUCAUGGGAUAAGCACUUAUUAAAACAUAUUUAUAUUCCCCUAGAUGCCACUCAAUUCUACACACACUUCUUAAAUCCCAGUGACAGCUUAAAGGCAUUAAGUAUUAAUUAAAGUUAAUGUAUGAUAGGCUAUGACACACUAACCCCUUAGUAUUAGUUAUUGGCAAGUAUUAGGAUAAGAACUAACCCAUUAGGUUAUGAUACACUAAACCCUUAGUUUAAGUAUUAGUAUAUUAUAAGUUAUUAGCAAGUAUUAGUAUUAGGAUAAGAACUAACCACUUAAGUUAUGACACACCCUUUGUAUUAGUAUAGUAUCAGUUAUUAGUAUAGUAUUAGUACUUACCCCUAUGAUACACUAACCCCUUAGUAUUAGUAUUAGUAUUCGUACUGACCCCUAGUAUCACACUACACACUAUUGCUGCUCUCCAGCUGUAACAGAGGCUAUGAUACAGUUACCGUUACUCUUAGUAUUAGUCUUAGUAUGAGCCCCACUCACUGCUCGUACUGUUCUCCAGCUUUAACAUCAGAGGCACGAAGCCCUCCAGCGGAACGUCGUUGAGCUGGCCGGAAUACAGGAACACAACGGACAUGAUGGUUUGGGGGUCCACAGUCAAUCCUGGUGGAACACGAGGGGAAGAGAGAAAAAGAAUUGGCCUAUAGUUUGUGUCUACUUUUCUUCAUCAAUUGAAUUAGUUUGUGUACAUAGUAGUGAACCUCUAGAGGACAUUGCGCCCAUGGCCUCAUGGAUGGACAACGCCCCAGAGCCAUCCGUGUCCAAGCCCUCGAAGAGUUCCUGUUACAGGAGAAUCAUCACGGGGGAUUCAUUAGGAGCUUCAAUGCAGAGUGGAUCAGAAUCCAAAGAGACUCAUUCGGAGAUUCGAGUGUACAUGAUUGAUAUCGGAGGCGCUACCUUGUAGCCGACAAACUUCUUCCAUAGUUUCUUGAAGGCGGGAUAGUUGAUCGUGCUUUGGUAGCCCUGUGGCUGAACACAACAAAAAAUGCCCCAAGUUGGCCUCAAUCACGUCUAUUCAUUCAACAAUUGAAAUGACAGCAUAGAAGAAAGGGGGAAUGUGAGGAGCAGAAGGGUUUCAUUUGGUCUACUUUACGUUAGAAAGGCCCAGAAUGGAUCUGCAAGCAGUCAGGUCAAACCCGUCCUUUCCUUUAGAAUCAACACACAAAAACAACACGUUGAAAAGAAUAAUGAAAGUAUGUGGACAUGUUUACAUGGUUUUCGGAAGAAGUGUUGAUUGUCUCACCGUUGAGGAGGGAGUCGUUGAGGAGACGCUUAAGCUGUUCGGCAUUGAGUCCCC
ensembl:lncRNA